GGGAACUCCUGGGCAGGUGCGGCGGUAAUACGGGGGGUGGAGGGGGUAGCUGGAUUUACUGGGUUUAAAGGGUGUGUAGGCGGACUUUUAAGUCAGGGGUGAAAUCCCUAGGCUCAACCUCGGAACUGCCUUUGAUACUAGUAGUCUUGAAUAUUGUUGAGGUGGGCGGAACGGGUCAUGUAGCGGUGAAAUGCAUAGAUAUGACCCGGAACACCGAUUGCGAAGGCAGCCCGCUAAGCAAUGAUUGACGCUGAGGCACGAAAGCGUGGGGAUCAAACAGGAUUAGAUACCCCAGUAGUC
rnacentral:rRNA from 1 species